AGGAGAAAGAGAGGCGAAAUCUAAAAACCCUGAAGGACUGGUCUCUAAAUAUCUAAAGAAACCACAGGGAAUUCCUUUUAAGAUCAGCAGAAAGCAAGUCAUCUGCGUAGCUUUAUGACAUCAUGCUCUACAUUAUGGAAAACAUCUUAUCUGGAAAACUCAGAGUACCAAGCAGUCCAGGCAGUAGGUCCAGUGAACCCAUCAAGUGGCUCCCAAUAGCUGAAAGCUCUUUGAAUCCAUGAAGAAAAAUAACUUGCACAAUCCUGAUGGGAAACAAGAAGAGGCAUCCACUACACGUCCCAAUAUGGGAGCACCAUAAAGGAAAUGAAGAAAAGUCACUGUAGUAGAUCCAGGUUAUCUUUGUAAAGCCCAUUUGGGCAAGGCCCUUGCAGCUGGUAUUUGGUUUCUCCAAGGAAACUCCAAGUACAAAGCUUUGUACUUAAAGAGAUAUUUGACUUUAUGCUGCCUUCUAUGAAGCCACUCUUCAGUGUGCAGGAGGUACCAGUGAAGCAGAACCUGACCAGUUCCAGGGAGUCACAUCUGACAGAAGAUGAAGAGAUGUUUCAUUUUAAUUCAUUCUCUUUCCGGUAGCAUUUAUUGAUAUAACAACAUUAUUUUAUUACUAAGUCUCCCUUCUCUUUAUUUAGCAUUCAUUGAAUUCUAACUGUUUAAAAAUAUUUUCUAAAUGUUAGUAUUUUUUUUGCAUCAUCUGGGGUAGAUUAGAAUCAUAUCAAUCAUGUAGUGGCUAUAGUUUCACCGCCAAGUGUUCUUCUUUUCUUUAUUAUCCUAAUUAGCAUUUGGUCCUGCUUACUCUAUUUAAUUCUCCUAAAACUUCAGAUUAAGACCAAAUGUAGCUCAAGGCAUAGUAGUGUUUUGGGGCCCUGUCUAUCAAAGACAAUUGAGUUCCCUUAAAUGGCUUGUUCCAUCUCAGUAUAGCAAUACUUUUAAAGGGGACCCUAGUUUGCAUAUUCGACCACAUUUAUAUGAAACGUAUAUUGUCAUAGUAUUUUACAUUUCCAUAACUUUAAUAAUUGGUGUAUAUAACCACUUUCUAAAUGCUUUCCAGAUGUUGUGCUUAAUUUCCUCUGAUAUUGAUAAGCGCUGGGAAAGGUGGGUGUGCUGUCCCUGAUUGGAUUUUGGCACAACAACACCUUGACUCAUGACUGCAAUCCUUGAUAUGAUAUGCAGCAAAUGAUAUCCAUGAAAACUGAUAUUAAAACUCAACUGUUAAGGACAGGUUUGCUAAAUAGCAGAGGGAAUCCCACCAGCUCAAUAUUUUACAUUAGUAACAAAUUGACACAUUUAUCAAAGCAUUUACUGUUUUGAUCAGUGUGUAAAUCAAACUCCACUUUGUACUGUGGUCUGCUCCCUCUGAGCUCUAAUACCCCAAUGAAUUACAGAGCCCUGGAAAUUGGAGAGAACUGUGUACAAUUAAAGCAAUGCAAUUUAAUGGGGGUUUAACGAUUAGGUUGAAAUAAUUUUCCAUGUUACUCUGAUUUAGUAAAGUAGAAAAUGAUUAGUAGAUAUCUGCCGCUCGUUAUUUUUUUUUUAUACAAGCUGUAGCUGUCAUUACUGUUCCUAAAAGAAAUAAUGUGGCUCAGUAAACAACAAGUAUGAACUAUAAUAAAUAGACAUGUAAUUUCUUUAUGUUCAAUAAAAUAAUAUUUUCAUUUGAA